ACCGCAUCCGGGGGGAGCCUGACUUGAGAGGCUGAGAGGCAGGGAUGGGCCCUGCGACCCCUUGAACCUGAUCCGGGUCAUGCCGGCGAAGGGAUCGGAGGUUCCGCAUGCC
rnacentral:ncRNA from 2 species